UACGUAGGGUGCAAGCGUUGUCCGGAAUUAUUGGGCGUAAAGAGCUCGUAGGCGGUUUGUCGCGUCUGCUGUGAAAACUCAGGGCUUAACCCUGAGCCUGCAGUGGGUACGGGCAGACUAGAGUGUGGUAGGGGAGAUCGGAAUUCCUGGUGUAGCGGUGGAAUGCGCAGAUAUCAGGAGGAACACCGGUGGCGAAGGCGGAUCUCUGGGCCACAACUGACGCUGAGGAGCGAAAGCAUGGGGAGCGAACAGG
rnacentral:rRNA from 1 species